GACGAACGCUGGCGGCGUGCUUAACACAUGCAAGUCGAACGGAAAGGCCCUGCUUUUGUGGGGUGCUCGAGUGGCGAACGGGUGAGUAACACGUGAGUAACCUGCCCUUGACUUUGGGAUAACUUCAGGAAACUGGGGCUAAUACCGGAUAGGAGCUCCUGCUGCAUGGUGGGGGUUGGAAAGUUUCGGCGGUUGGGGAUGGACUCGCGGCUUAUCAGCUUGUUGGUGGGGUAGUGGCUUACCAAGGCUUUGACGGGUAGCCGGCCUGAGAGGGUGACCGGCCACAUUGGGACUGAGAUACGGCCCAGACUCCUACGGGAGGCAGCAGUGGGGAAUAUUGCACAAUGGGCGGAAGCCUGAUGCAGCAACGCCGCGUGCGGGAUGACGGCCUUCGGGUUGUAAACCGCUUUCGCCUGUGACGAAGCGUGAGUGACGGUAAUGGGUAAAGAAGCACCGGCUAACUACGUGCCAGCAGCCGCGGUGAUACGUAGGGUGCGAGCGUUGUCCGGAUUUAUUGGGCGUAAAGGGCUCGUAGGUGGUUGAUCGCGUCGGAAGUGUAAUCUUGGGGCUUAACCCUGAGCGUGCUUUCGAUACGGGUUGACUUGAGGAAGGUAGGGGAGAAUGGAAUUCCUGGUGGAGCGGUGGAAUGCGCAGAUAACAGGAGGAACACCAGUGGCGAAGGCGGUUCUCUGGGCCUUUCCUGACGCUGAGGAGCGAAAGCGUGGGGAGCGAACAGGCUUAGAUACCCUGGUAGUCCACGCUGUAAACGGUGGGUACUAGGUGUGGGGUCCAUUCCACGGGUUCCGUGCCGUAGCUAACGCUUUAAGUACCCCGCCUGGGGAGUACGGCCGCAAGGCUAAAACUCAAAGGAAUUGACGGGGCCCCGCACAAGCGGCGGAGCAUGCGGAUUAAUUCGAUGCAACGCGUAGAACCUUACCUGGGUUUGACAUGGAUCGGGAGUGCUCAGAGAUGGGUGUGCCUCUUUUGGGGUCGGUUCACAGGUGGUGCAUGGCUGUCGUCAGCUCGUGUCGUGAGAUGUUGGGUUAAGUCCCGCAACGAGCGCAACCCUUGUUCACUGUUGCCAGCACGUUAUGGUGGGGACUCAGUGGAGACCGCCGGGGUCAACUCGAAGGAAGGUGGGGAUGACGUCAAGUCAUCAUGCCCCUUAUGUCCAGGGCUUCACGCAUGCUACAAUGGCUGGUACAGAGAGUGGCGAGCCUGUGAGGGUGAGCGAAUCUCGGAAAGCCGGUCUCAGUUCGGAUUGGGGUCUGCAACUCGACCUCAUGAAGUCGGAGUCGCUAGUAAUCGCAGAUCAGCAACGCUGCGGUGAAUACGUUCCCGGGGCU
rnacentral:rRNA from 1 species